rnacentral:lncRNA from 1 species
CCGACAUGCAUGCAACAUUAACACGCAACAGACGCCAUUAGAAAAUUAUCUAUGACAGAGCAUAGACCUACAUUUCAUGAGCUGAAGUCACGUCGCUAGAGACGUCUACGUACUCGUCAAAAGCCUAUACAGUAUAAAGCCAAGCAAGGUGUGGAGAGAGAUUUUGCUUAGUUGAAGCCAGUUGAAGUGAAGAUACAGUAUAAAGCCAAGCAAGGUGUGGAGAGAGAUUUUGCUUAGUUGAAGCAGGUUGAAGUGAAGAUACAGUAUAAAGCCAAGCAAGGUGUGGAGAGAGAUUUUGCUUAGUUGAAGCCAGUUGAAGUGAAGAUCCUUGAAGUUGAAGUUGGUUGAAGCAGAGGUGUGAGUGAAAGCCAGCAAGAACACAAAUAAACAGCAAGGUAGUUGUACAGUACAUGACCUGGCACUCCAAUCUGAUUUUUGGUGCAGUACCUUUAAAUUAAAGUGUUGGGGCCCCCAAAACUUAAUGGCAAAUUUCACCUGAAAUGUAGAAUAAUGUUAAAGAGACUGCCAUUUAACAGAGAAGUACGUUUGAAUAUGAAAAUUAAUGAAAGAAUACAAUAUGUGUGUUCUUAGCGUACAACAUAAAACCCAAUUUUGUAUUGUUUCAAUAGUAUUCACCUUCAAACACAUGUUCUUUUUAAAUCCUUGGAGAAGUGUGGUUAAAUGACAUUGUUUCUCACAACCUCAUAGGAUCUAAGUGAAAUUUUGCUAUAUCAAUUUGGGCAUAUUUUUGGUUCCAAACAAUUUAGAGGGGCUUUAACAUUUUAGGGACAGAAAAUUGUUUUGAGACAUUACGGUAUCUCUAAAUGACAGUGAGUACAUGACAUUUAUGUACAUAAAACAUUUAGGAUAACAUUUAUCUGUAAAAUGGGGUUUGAACAUUGAACUUAUACAUGUAUAUUUUUGGGGGUGCAAUUUAUAACGUACAAAACUACAAAAGCUACAAUACAUAGUAGCUGAACGACCAAUAUGCUCCCCGAAAUUGCAUCCGGGUGUUUAGUGUCCCUGAAUCUCCUCAAGAAAACACCACUACAACAAUCUGCAACAUUGCGCAUCACUUUAAAACCGGAAGAUAUCGACCGAUGUCACUGCAUCGGAAACCACCUACCCAUCCAAGAUCACGGCCAAAACCAGCGGCCAUCAUCGUGCAGCUGACAUCAUAUCAACAUCGACAGCGGCUGAUCGUCGAAUUUGAAAAGGAUCGGAAUAACCUGCGAGGAUCUGACUGAUGCCAAUCGUACUCUCUUCCAUGAUGCUUUCAUCGCAAGCAAGAAACAGAACAGUGAGAUACAGGCAGCAUGGUCGAUGGACUGACGGGUCAUUGUCUCUGUGAAGACAUCACACGGUAAGAGCGUGAAGAAACAGGUUCAUGACAAGAACGAACUAGACAACAUAUGAACACAAGCAUUGAAAUUGAAGGAUCAUGAUUUCCUUCGGUCCUGCAUUUUGUAUACUUUUGGUACAGUAAUAUAUUCACUAGACAUAUUUUUGUAUUUUGUAUUUAUUUGGUUUAAAAACAUGAACACGUAAAGUUCAGGAAGUGGAACUCAUAUUGGUUAAAUUAAAUAAAAUUGAAUACUGUAAACAAAAUUGAACCAAAAUAUAUACACUUGAGAAAAAUUCUGGUUACAAUAGAAUAUUCAACGAGUGAAGCCAGGCUGGCUACAUGUAACAAGACCAACGUGAGGGAUGACGAGGAAAUAGAGAAGAAGAGAAAUGUUGAGGGAGAGGGGGACAGAAAAAGGGAG